rnacentral:lncRNA from 1 species
AAAGUACAAUACAUUUUUACAAAAUUGUUUUUUUGAAAUUGUAUAGAUAGAGAGAAGUUUUUAUAUUUAGAAAUUUAACACUAAACAUUAUCAAUUUAAACGGAUUUCCAGCUAUUUAUUCCUGCAUUUAGUACACACUUUUUGAUUAAAUGAAGACAUUUACGUAUUAAACUAAACAAAUAUUCCAACAUUAAAUUGACAUGAAUAUAGAAGUAAAAAGAUAAAGGAUUUAUUUUAUGUUAGAGUGAAAUUAAUUGCAGAAACUUGAUGAACUCCUGCCAUUGUGUUUUGUUGGAGGGGUUGCAGUUGAUUGGUGUAUUCCUCCUCCCCCCUUUCUCAUCUUGUUUUAUUUAUAAAAUUUAUAAUACUAACUUAAUUUUGAUAAUAAUAAUCCUGCCA